UGCAGUCGAACGGUGAAGCAGAGCUUGCUCUGUGGAUCAGUGGCGAACGGGUGAGUAACACGUGAGCAAUCUGCCCCUGACUCUGGGAUAAGCGCUGGAAACGGCGUCUAAUACCGGAUACGAGCUGCGAAGGCAUCUUCAGCAGUUGGAAAGAAUUUCGGUCAGGGAUGAGCUCGCGGCCUAUCAGCUUGUUGGUGAGGUAAUGGCUCACCAAGGCGUCGACGGGUAGCCGGCCUGAGAGGGUGACCGGCCACACUGGGACUGAGACACGGCCCAGACUCCUACGGGAGGCAGCAGUGGGGAAUAUUGCACAAUGGGCGGAAGCCUGAUGCAGCAACGCCGCGUGAGGGAUGACGGCCUUCGGGUUGUAAACCUCUUUUAGCAGGGAAGAAGCGAAAGUGACGGUACCUGCAGAAAAAGCGCCGGCUAACUACGUGCCAGCAGCCGCGGUAAUACGUAGGGCGCAAGCGUUAUCCGGAAUUAUUGGGCGUAAAGAGCUCGUAGGCGGUCUGUCGCGUCUGCUGUGAAAUCCCGAGGCUCAACCUCGGGUCUGCAGUGGGUACGGGCAGACUAGAGUGCGGUAGGGGAGAUUGGAAUUCCUGGUGUAGCGGUGGAAUGCGCAGAUAUCAGGAGGAACACCGAUGGCGAAGGCAGAUCUCUGGGCCGUAACUGACGCUGAGGAGCGAAAGGGUGGGGAGCAAACAGGCUUAGAUACCCU
rnacentral:rRNA from 1 species